CAGCCAGUUUCGUUUCCGGCGCUGGCGUGCCCAGAUGUAUUUCGCGCGACGCAAAUUCGGUCAUCAAUCGACAUGUACUCGUAACAUGCAUAUGCUGUGUUUUGUGAACGCUUUUGAUGUUUAUAUUUUAAGUUACAAGAAUGCUGCGUUUUAUUGUCGGUUAUUGUGUGACGUUGUCGGUCGAUAGUCAGUUGGAUACAUAUUGCUGCCAUGUUGUUCCCCGUCCUUAGAAGGUCCCUUCGUGCUACUUCCUAUGAUUACCUGAUGCACCGGUAAAUUUGUAAACGUUAUUAGUUAUUACAUUAUACUUUCAUAUUUAUCUAAAAUUGCAUGUAACGUGAAUACCGUAACAACACAAAAUUGAUGCGUGCCGUCAGAUGCGACUUGGAUCUACCCGCAGAGUAUGGUCAUGCCAAUCAUCGGUUUAAUAACGUGAAAUUUUCCUUGCUCGCAUUUUUAUUUCAUAAAUCUGCAGGCUGUUUAACGUAUUUUCGUAGUUUGGCAAUUAAUUAUUGGGAGUAAUAUAUUUGUAAAAGACGAUUUAAUUUUCUUCCGCGUGUGUGCUUGAGUUGCCGUCGGCGGACACAUUUUGCCUUGCUUGUGGCGUAUCUAGAGAAGCGUCGCAAGGCAAAUUUCAAGAUCGCAAUAAAAUUCAUAUUGAUGUUUUAUUUAUUCACAA